AACGAACGCUGGCGGCAGGCCUAACACAUGCAAGUCGAGCGAUCCCUUCGGGGAUAGCGGCGGACGGGUGAGUAACGCGUGGGAACGUACCCUUUGCUACGGAAUAGCCUCGGGAAACUGGGAGUAAUACCGUAUGUGCCCUUCGGGGGAAAGAUUUAUCGGCAAAGGAUCGACCCGCGUUAGAUUAGGUAGUUGGUGGGGUAAUGGCCUACCAAGCCUACGAUCCAUAGCUGGUUUGAGAGGAUGAUCAGCCACACUGGGACUGAGACACGGCCCAGACUCCUACGGGAGGCAGCAGUGGGGAAUCUUAGACAAUGGGGGCAACCCUGAUCUAGCCAUGCCGCGUGAGUGAUGAAGGCCUUAGGGUUGUAAAGCUCUUUCAGCUGGGAAGAUAAUGACGGUACCAGCAGAAGAAGCCCCGGCUAACUCCGUG
rnacentral:rRNA from 1 species